rnacentral:rRNA from 1 species
AACGAACGCGGGCGGCGUGCCUAACACAUGCAAGUCGAGCGCGAAAAGGGCAACCUGAGUAGAGCGGCGCACGGGUGCGUAACACGUGGGUAAUCUGCCUUAGAGUCGAGGAUAACCUUCCGAAAGGUUGGCUAAUACUCGGUAAGCUUACGGUGUCUUCGGACGCUGUGGGAAAAGUAGGCCUCUGUUUACAAGCUUACGCUCUGAGAUGAGCCCGCGGCCCAUCAGCUAGUUGGCGGUGUAGCGGACCACCAAGGCAACGACGGGUAGCUGGUCUGAGAGGACGAUCAGCCACACUGGAACUGAGACACGGUCCAGACUCCUACGGGAGGCAGCAGUGGGGAAUUUUCCACAAUGGGCGAAAGCCUGAUGGAGCAACGCCGCGUGUGUGAUGAAGGGUUUCGGAUCGUAAAGCACUUUCGACUGGGACGAAAAACCUUUGGCUAACAUCCAGGGGCCUGACGGUACCAGGAGAAGAAGCACCGGCUAACUCUGUGCCAGCAGCCGCCGUAAAAC